rnacentral:rRNA from 1 species
AUUGAACGCUGGCGGCAUGCCUUACACAUGCAAGUCGAACGGCAGCACGGGUGCUUGCACCUGGUGGCGAGUGGCGAACGGGUGCGUAAUACAUCGGAACAUGUCCUGUCGUGGGGGAUAGCCCGGCGAAAGCCGGAUUAAUACCGCAUACGAUCUACGGAUGACAGCGGGGGACCUUCGGGCCUCGCGCUAUCGGGUUGGCCGAUGGCUGAUUAGCUAGUUGGAGGGGUAAAGGCCUACCAAGGCGACGAUCAGUAGCUGGUCUGAGAGGACGACCAGCCACACUGGGACUGAGACACGGCCCAGACUCCUACGGGAGGCAGCAGUGGGGAAUUUUGGACAAUGGGCGAAAGCCUGAUCCAGCAAUGCCGCGUGUGUGAAGAAGGCCUUCGGGUUGUAAAGCACUUUUGUCCGGAAAGAAAUCCUUGGGCCUAAUACGGUCGGGGGAUGACGGUACCGGAAGAAUAAGCACCGGCUAACUACGUG